AGCAGCUGCUGGCAAGGUGAGGAGCCCUGAUCGGAGCAUCCCAAGCCCCUCCACUGGAAGUGGUACGCGUUUACUCUCACGUCUGUCGUCAAAGCUGCAGCACCCUUGGAACUGCUGCUGUCCAUGCUGGCACCUCCUGAAAGAGUUUGUCAACACGUGCCUAAGCGGUUUGCAGCUUGAUUUUUGCGACGUGCCAGUCCCGUGUGCAUCCCCUCCAGAUGUAUGUAUAGGGCGUGGGUUCGCUUCCCCCCCGCCUUGUGGUCCUGCAGCAGCUCCUGAGCAAAGAAAGCCCAGAACCAUGCCAUGGCGCCCAGAGGAAUGCAGAGCUCACCCAUCUUCGCUCCGUUCCCAGCACCAGCACUUAAAAUCGUAUCGUCACUCAAACAGGUGCCUUCCCUCUUUAUUCCGGGAAGUUUAAUGAAAGCACAAAAAGCGGAGCUGAUCUCUCUGGGAGAGAACCGAGUGCCUUCCCCCGGCUCUGGCCGACUUCCGUGCUCGUUGGGGCAAUUUGGACGCCACUUUCUGCUCUGGGAAACCCUCAUGGGUAUGCUGCUGGUGAAUAUUAUAUACGAUGCCGCUGCUGGUGAGAGGAAACCCAUCCUAGAAUGUGGGGGGACCCCCGAGCUCAGCACAACUUGUCCAAAGCCGGGGUUUGCUGGCGGUGGCUACUGACACCUUCCCAACAUGCAGCACCUCCUCCAUUUCCCACCAAAGCCCAGCGAGGUCCCACCAUGCUUACACAGAGGUGCUGAGCCCCAGUCCGGGGGGACGUGGUGUGCGUGCAUGUGAGUUUUAAAGUUUGGUGACAUUUUCAGGAAGAUGCUAUCCGCAGCACUAGUGAAAACCAGCUCUUUUCUCUUUGGAAGGCCCUUACAGCAUGCCAGUGUCUCGUGAUAUUAUUCCACCCACACGUGGUGGAGAGCAUCCAGAAUAUUAGCACUUUGGCUUAAGUUUUCUCAAAGCAAUUAUGCUUAAGACAGAAAACAUCAGCUCAGGUAGUUCUGCCCUGGCAGUGGUAUAGGAAACUGAUGGCAAGGCCAUACAGUGGGGCAAUGUAGGCAGUACCCCCAGUAUCUCUGCAGCAUAUAGAAUUAUUGGCAUUCAGGACUGAGAGCAAAAACUUACACAUUUCUUUAUAUAGGCAUAAUUAUUUUAAAAGUCUGUCAGAAUUAGCUUGAAAUUACAAGUUGCAUAAAAAUAGCACAGUUGCGUGAAAGCAAAAAUAAAAACUUCCUGAAAGCUGGGGUCUUCACGGAGGACCUUAGUUCCCUUAGUCCUGGAGUUAGGCACCCAAUGGGCUGAGCCUGCUUCAAGAAACACAGCCCCAGUCAGGAUUUAAACUUUCUAAAGUUGAAAAGAGGAAUAUUUUCAACCCAUAAAAUGACACUGAACAAGCAGGCAGCACAGGGAAAAUCAUCGUAAUUGUGAAGCAGAGAAUCAACCUUGAAUUAAAGAAUGUGUCACACAUGUAGACAUAAGAGAUGCUUGUAACACCUAGGAGAAAUGUGGCAAAAUGCUAACACCCCCAGAAAAGCCAGACAGCGCAUCUGAUCAGAAGGUUUACAGGCAGACAAAAAGACCAAGCAGAGCAUGAAGGGACAGCAGCGAGAGCCGGUGGGGGUGCCCAUCUCCAGCCUCAGCAGUGCUCGAGGGGCAGGAGGCAGCUGGGCAGAGCCGAGGUGGGCGAGCACCUGAGCUCUCCAUG